rnacentral:lncRNA from 1 species
GUUCUCUGAAACUACAAGUACAAUCGACCUCAAAAUUUGCAGUCAGCAGGGCAUACAUGUACUAAAGGUUUAUAAAAAAACUUGGUGCAGAUAUCUCUCAAGACUUUUCCUAGAGAAAAGAAAUGGCAAUGCCGUAAAAAUCGCUUGCUAGGUCCGUAAAUCUCAGUAAAAACCUACAAUAAAAUGUCCGCUCCGAGAUUGAAAUACUAAUCUGUGUUACAAACAGGUGCUGAAAAAUGUACAUUAUCAGAAAAUAAUCAAUAAAUGUGUUUUAAAGUUACACCGGAUCAAUUAAAUCCAAAACAUGCACUGCUUGUGAACUGUGAUCAAAAUGUCAAUUUCCUACAAUGACAAAAGAAAUUACAUUGUGUACAUUCCAUCUCUAUAGAUGUUGUCUGUUUAACGUCCCGACCUAAAAAGAAAUAAAAAGACUAAGUCUUUUCGUUAUUAUAAACCCGUGUCACGUGAUGUCUCCUCAAUCUUGCGCGCGCGCUGUAUCUAAAAUAAAAGAAAAACUUUCCAAACUAAACAUGAAACUUCUCCGGUAACAUAAUAAUAUAGACCCCAUACCAAAGCAAACAAACAAACAAAAAAACAAAUACCCCCCCCCCCCCCCUUUUUUCCAAAUCAAUCAAUAAAAAAAAAUCAAUUAUCCAUUCAUCAGAGGGGAAAGACUGCCUAACAAUUGUUUUCAAAACAAUUGCUUUAUAUUUAUUAUUAUUAAGUCUUUCCACUUUUCUGUGGAAAGACUUAUUGUAUUUGUUCUGAUUAUUAUUAUUAUUAUUAUUUUUUUUUUUUUCCGCCAACUUUUGUUCUUGCGAUAAAUGUUUGUUUCGCAAUAUGUCGCUUAGAUAUUUCUCAUAUUGUAUCGUAUAGUUUAUGCGCUUUUAAAUUUCACCCUGCUAAGACGAACAAUUUUCUCUGUAAGAGUUAUCUCCCUAUUCACUGUUUAUCAUGUGUGUGCAUCUCCUUCGUAACAAAAAAGAU